rnacentral:rRNA from 1 species
GAUGAACGCUGGCGGCGUGCCUAAUACAUGCAAGUCGAGCGAACAGACGAGGAGCUUGCUCCUCUGACGUUAGCGGCGGACGGGUGAGUAACACGUGGAUAACCUACCUAUAAUACUGGGAUAACUUCGGGAAACCGGAGCUAAUACCGGAUAAUAUAUUGAACCGCAUGGUUCAAUAGUGAAAGACGGCUUUGCUGUCACUUAUAGAUGGAUCCGCGCCGCAUUAGCUAGUUGGUAAGGUAACGGCUUACCAAGGCGACGAUGCGCAGCCGACCUGAGAGGGUGAUCGGCCACACUGGAACUGAGACACGGUCCAGACUCCUACGGGAGGCAGCAGUAGGGAAUCUUCCGCAAUGGGCGAAAGCCUGACGGAGCAACGCCGCGUGAGUGAUGAAGGUCUUCGGAUCGUAAAACUCUGUUAUUAGGGAAGAACAAAUGUGUAAGUAACUAUGCACGUCUUGACGGUACCUAAUCAGAAAGCCACGGCUAACUACGUG